GCACGCUGCCUGCUAAUUAUCUACAAGCUAUGUUUCAAUUUGUUCAUUUCUAAUUAUUUUCAAAAAGUAUUAUUUUCAGUUUGAAAUGAGGUGCGUUCUGCCUCAUUAAUUCACAUAAAAGUAGCCCAUUUCACUGUGGCAGAUUAUUUACUUUUGAAGCAUGUUAUGCUAAUGUAGGACGAGGAUUAUCUAGAUGAGCUAGCCAAACUUCUCCCUUUGAUGAGAGUCCAAGCACUAUCCCAGUGUUUCCCCAGGUCAAUGUAAAAUGGAUCGGACCUAAAAUUGAGCCCUGGGGAACUCUUUGUGUAAGCCUUCGAAACUCAGAUUUCAUACCCUCCUGAGCUACACACUGUGUUCUGUCAGAAAGGCAACAUAUCCCAAGGAACCCAGCUUCUGCAGCCAUCGUGAGGACUCAGCAGGAGGAUGGCCCCAUCCGUCCAACCCACAGAACCAACUCCAAUACUGGAAAUUGCAGCCGGUAGCAACAAGAAGUGCUGCAAUGUGUGUGGACGCAAGAAGGACAGGAAGACACAGCACACAUGCAUCAAGUGCAAGAAAUACAUUUGCAAUACUCACACAGUAAAACUCUGUCCCUCGUGGUGUGUAGACCAGCC
rnacentral:lncRNA from 1 species